rnacentral:rRNA from 1 species
GUAGGGAAUAUUGCGCAAUGGGGGAAACCCUGACGCAGCGACGCCACGUGAGUGAUGAAGGCCUUCGGGUCGUAAAGCUCUGUUGCAGGGGAAUAAAAAAAUGAAGGUACCCUGUGAGGAAGGAUCGGCUAACUUCGUGCCAGCAGCCGCGGUAAGACGAGGGAUCCUAGCGUUGCUCGGAAUCAUUGGGCGUAAAGAGGGCGUAGGUGGCUUGGUAAGUCAGGUGUGAAAGCCCAGGGCUCAACCCUGGAAGUGCAUUUGAUACUGCUGAGCUUGAGUGUCGGAGAGGUUACCGGAAUACCUGGUGUAGUGGUGAAAUACGUAGAUAUCAGGUGGAACACCGGAGGCGAAGGCGGGUAACUGGACGAACACUGACACUGAGGCCCGAAAGCGUGGGGAUCAAACAGGAUUAGAAACCCCUGUAGUCC